rnacentral:rRNA from 1 species
CAAUAGCGUAUAUUAAAGUUGUUGCAGUUAAAAAGCUCGUAGUUGGACUUCUGGCUUGGUGAGGUGGUCCGCCGCAAGGUGUGCACUGUUUUGUCGAGCCUUCUUCUCGUAGUUGGUGGGUGCACUUAACUGGGCGCCUAUUGAAUAUGGGACCUUUACUUUGAAAAAAUUAGAGUGUUCAAAGCAGGCCUUCGCUUGAAUACAUUAGCAUGGAAUAAUAGAAUAGGUACUUUGGUUCUUAUUUUGUUUGGUUUCUAGGACCGAAGUAAUGAUUAAUAGGGACAGUUGGGGGCAUUAGUAUUAACACGUCAGAGGUGAAAUUCUUGGAUUGUGUUACGACGAACUACUGCGAAAGCAUUUGCCAAGGAUGUUUUCAUUGAUCAAGAACGAAAGUGCGGGGAUCGAAGACGAUCAGAUACCGU